UGCUGGAAGGUACCAUCAUAUAGCUGAACCGGGUCCGAUUCAAAUUUCAGAACACUGGCUAUGAAGACAAGACACUAUUGGUCAUUGACUCUAGACCAGCAAUCUUCGCACGCCGUAAAAAAAUUAGUGCUUGAUGGCUGAUGGAAUAUCCUGGCAUUGGAAGCCUCCCCAGAGUGUUAGAGCCUACCGGCCUUUUAACAUUUUUUUGACACCACAUGCAUGUAAUAGGCCAUGGAAGGAUGAUUAGCUGAGACAUAACAAUUUUUUAAAUAAAAAGCGGUUCCUUUGCUGGGACCAACAAGCCAAGCAAAGAAAAUCGUCGUGAAGACAGCGAAGAACUCCCUUGUAUAUCUAGAUUGUGGCAUCAGGGUCCUAAUCUGUGGUUAAAUAUGAACACACACCAAUUACGGCGUGUAUAUGGUUGCUUUUUGUGAACAUUCAACUGAAUUAUCAACAUAAAACUUUUCUGUCUUUUUUUAUUCUGAAUAUUUUGUUUUUAAGGACUUGCUACAGUCAAUUGCAAGUGAAUAAUCUGAUAUAUCCAUGCUCAAUUGCCUAAGGCUUAUAAAAUGUUUAUUCAAGG